GGGUUGUGAGGUUAAGCGACUAAGCGUACACGGUGGAUGCCCUGGCAGUCAGAGGCGAUGAAGGACGUGCUAAUCUGCGAAAAGCGUCGGUAAGGUGAUAUGAACCGUUAUAACCGGCGAUGUCCGAAUGGGGAAACCCAGUGUGAUUCGUCACACUAUCGUUAACUGAAUACAUAGGUUAACGAGGCGAACCGGGGGAACUGAAACAUCUAAGUACCCCGAGGAAAAGAAAUCAACCGAGAUUCCCCCAGUAGCGGCGAGCGAACGGGGAGCAGCCCAGAGUCUGAAUCAGCUUGUGUGUUAGUGGAACGGUCUGGAAAGUCCGACGGUACAGGGUGAUAGUCCCGUACACCAAAAUGCACAGGCUGUGAACUCGAAGAGUAGGGCGGGACACGUGGUAUCCUGUCUGAAUAUGGGGGGACCAUCCUCCAAGGCUAAAUACUCCUGACUGACCGAUAGUGAACCAGUACCGUGAGGGAAAGGCGAAAAGAACCCCGGCGAGGGGAGUGAAAAAGAACCUGAAACCGUGUACGUACAAGCAGUGGGAGCACCUUCGGGUGUGACUGCGUACCUUUUGUAUAAUGGGUCAGCGACUUAUAUUCUGUAGCAAGGUUAACCGUAUAGGGGAGCCGCAGGGAAACCGAGUCUUAACUGGGCGUUAAGUUGCAGGGUAUAGACCCGAAACCCGGUGAUCUAGCCAUGGGCAGGUUGAAGGUUGGGUAACACUAACUGGAGGACCGAACCGACUAAUGUUGAAAAAUUAGCGGAUGACUUGUGGCUGGGGGUGAAAGGCCAAUCAAACCGGGAGAUAGCUGGUUCUCCCCGAAAGCUAUUUAGGUAGCGCCUCGUGAACUCAUCUUCGGGGGUAGAGCACUGUUUCGGCUAGGGGGUCAUCCCGACUUACCAACCCGAUGCAAACUACGAAUACCGAAGAAUGUUAUCACGGGAGACACACGGCGGGUGCUAACGUCCGUCGUGAAGAGGGAAACAACCCAGACCGCCAGCUAAGGUCCCAAAGUCAUGGUUAAGUGGGAAACGAUGUGGGAAGGCACAGACAGCCAGGAUGUUGGCUUAGAAGCAGCCAUCAUUUAAAGAAAGCGUAAUAGCUCACUGGUCGAGUCGGCCUGCGCGGAAGAUGUAACGGGGCUAAACCAUGCACCGAAGCUGCGGCAGCGACACUAUGUGUUGUUGGGUAGGGGAGCGUUCUGUAAGCCUGCGAAGGUGUGCUGUGAGGCAUGCUGGAGGUAUCAGAAGUGCGAAUGCUGACAUAAGUAACGAUAAAGCGGGUGAAAAGCCCGCUCGCCGGAAGACCAAGGGUUCCUGUCCAACGUUAAUCGGGGCAGGGUGAGUCGACCCCUAAGGCGAGGCCGAAAGGCGUAGUCGAUGGGAAACAGGUUAAUAUUCCUGUACUUGGUGUUACUGCGAAGGGGGGACGGAGAAGGCUAUGUUAGCCGGGCGACGGUUGUCCCGGUUUAAGCAUGUAGGCUGGUUGUCCAGGCAAAUCCGGAUAAUCAAGGCUGAGGUGUGAUGACGAGGCACUACGGUGCUGAAGUAACAAAUGCCCUGCUUCCAGGAAAAGCCUCUAAGCAUCAGGUAACAUCAAAUCGUACCCCAAACCGACACAGGUGGUCAGGUAGAGAAUACCAAGGCGCUUGAGAGAACUCGGGUGAAGGAACUAGGCAAAAUGGUGCCGUAACUUCGGGAGAAGGCACGCUGGUGUGUAGGUGAAGUCCCUGCGGAUGGAGCUGAGACCAGUCGAAGAUACCAGCUGGCUGCAACUGUUUAUUAAAAACACAGCACUGUGCAAACACGAAAGUGGACGUAUACGGUGUGACGCCUGCCCGGUGCCGGAAGGUUAAUUGAUGGGGUUAUCCGUAAGGAGAAGCUCUUGAUCGAAGCCCCGGUAAACGGCGGCCGUAACUAUAACGGUCCUAAGGUAGCGAAAUUCCUUGUCGGGUAAGUUCCGACCUGCACGAAUGGCGUAAUGAUGGCCAGGCUGUCUCCACCCGAGACUCAGUGAAAUUGAACUCGCUGUGAAGAUGCAGUGUACCCGCGGCAAGACGGAAAGACCCCGUGAACCUUUACUAUAGCUUGACACUGAACAUUGAGCCUUGAUGUGUAGGAUAGGUGGGAGGCUUUGAAGCGUGGACGCCAGUCUGCGUGGAGCCAACCUUGAAAUACCACCCUUUAAUGUUUGAUGUUCUAACGUUGGCCCCUUACCGGGGUUGCGGACAGUGUCUGGUGGGUAGUUUGACUGGGGCGGUCUCCUCCCAAAGCGUAACGGAGGAGCACGAAGGUUAGCUAAUCCUGGUCGGACAUCAGGAGGUUAGUGCAAUGGCAUAAGCUAGCUUGACUGCGAGCGUGACGGCGCGAGCAGGUGCGAAAGCAGGUCAUAGUGAUCCGGUGGUUCUGAAUGGAAGGGCCAUCGCUCAACGGAUAAAAGGUACUCCGGGGAUAACAGGCUGAUACCGCCCAAGAGUUCAUAUCGACGGCGGUGUUUGGCACCUCGAUGUCGGCUCAUCACAUCCUGGGGCUGAAGUAGGUCCCAAGGGUAUGGCUGUUCGCCAUUUAAAGUGGUACGCGAGCUGGGUUUAGAACGUCGUGAGACAGUUCGGUCCCUAUCUGCCGUGGGCGCUGGAGAAUUGAGGGGGGCUGCUCCUAGUACGAGAGGACCGGAGUGGACGCAUCACUGGUGUUCGGGUUGUCAUGCCAAUGGCACUGCCCGGUAGCUAAAUGCGGAAGAGAUAAGUGCUGAAAGCAUCUAAGCACGAAACUUGCCCCGAGAUGAGUUCUCCCUGAGACUUUAAGUCUCCUGAAGGAACGUUGAAGACGACGACGUUGAUAGGCCGGGUGUGUAAGCGCAGCGAUGCGUUGAGCUAACCGGUACUAAUGAACCGUGAGGCUUAACCUUACAACGCCGAAG
rnacentral:rRNA from 1 species